AGAGUUUGAUCAUGGCUCAGGACAAACGCUGGCGGCAGGCCUCAAACAUGCAAGUCUAGGGGGUGCAGCAAUGCAUCACCGGCGGACGGGUGCGUAACGCGUGGGAAUGUACCUAUUGGUUCGGGACAACUGAGGGAAACUUCAGCUAAUACCGAAUGUGCCCUUACGGGGAAAGAUUUAUCGCCAAUGGAUCAGCCCGCGUCCGAUUAGCUAGUUGGUGGGGUAACGGCCCACCAAGGCUCCGAUCGGUAGCUGUUCUGAGAGGAAGAUCAGCCACACUGGGACUGAGACACGGCCCAGACUCCUACGGGAGGCAGCAGUGGGGAAUAUUGGACAAUGGGCGCAAGCCUGAUCCAGCCAUGCCGCGUGGAUGAUGAAGGCCUUAGGGUUGUAAAGCUCUUUUGUGCGGGAAGAUAAUGACGGUACCGCAAGAAUAAGCCCCGGCUAACUUCGUGCCAGCAGCCGCGGUAAUCA
rnacentral:rRNA from 1 species